rnacentral:sRNA from 1 species
CCUGAGAAAUAAUCUACAAAGAAGACACAGGAGGAGAUUGUACUGGAGUACAUGGUUAAGACUGUUAGAACACAAAAGAGCCAAGAAAGACAAACAAGCCUCCCCAUCUGGGCCGGGGGUACUGCAUCAAGGGAAGUAGGAGGAUCUGCUUUUCUCUCACUUCUGUUCAGUCCAGUCCUGGAACUUUCAACCAUCGUCCUCUAAAGGCUCAUGUGCCCCAGCUUGUGGACUGAUCCCCAAGAGGCAACUGAAUUGUGAGGCUCUGAACAACUGAAGAGCAGUCUCGUGACAGACUCAAUUUGUUGGCAUUACUGGGAGGUGAUGCAGAUUCAAUGAGUGGGGGGGUCAGAGGAAGUGGUCCCUGGUGAUAUGUCUUUCAAAUACGUCUCUUGCUCCUGAGCCUUCCUGGGUUCCCUCUGCCUUCUGUGUGCUGUGGAUUGAGCUACUGUUGCCCACUACAUGUUCCCCUACCAUAAUGCUCUGCCUCACUAUGCCUGGGCCAGGAGCAAGGGAAGUGACCAUGUGCUGAAACCAACAGCCAAAAUCUUCUCUUCUUUAUGUUGUUUUUCUCAGUUACUGUAGCAAAACUAAGAAACACAGAAUUUCAUUUUUGUAUAUGUAUAUAUAGUUUAUACAUGUGUGGGCACAUGGUAUGUUCCCACAUGUGUGCACAUGUGCAUGUCAGUGAGCACCUUCAGGUGCAUCUAUUGCUUGCCACUUCUUUGGUGACAUGGAAUCUCCAAAGAGAUUCCUUGCUUCAUUUCAGUUAGACUGGCUGGCAGUGAAGACCCAGGCCCACUAGUCUACCCCACAGCCAGACCUCCAGCACUGAGGUUAUUAACAUGGCCACACCUGGUUUUUAAUGGGGGUGCUGGUUUAUGAAUGUCAUGUUUGCACAGCAAGCUUUUGGUUUUAAGACAUGUCACUAUACCUUUGAACAUGGGUCUCCCACCAUACCCAAUUAAUGAAACCAACUGAAGGUAUACACACCAACCACUCUCCUCUCGGCCUUUCUGUUUCCCAAAGUACAUUCGCUCGUUUGCCCAAGCCCUUAGCACAUUUGGUUCUUCAAUGGCAUUUAUUCCUCUGAAUACCCGGACAUUUCCUCCACAGCUUUCCUCUAAAAAUUCCUCAUGAUAACACACCAAAACUAACCUUAGUAUGAGGAAUAUGAUGAUUCAUCAAUCCCACAGAAGGCCAAGAUGAUAAGAACCAAAUAUAACUUUUUUUAUUUAUAUUUUUGCUUUGUUUGUCUUUUGUGACCGAGUCUCUCUGUGUAUUCUGCCUAUCCUGAACUCACUGUGUAGACCAGGCUGGCCUGGAACUCACAGAGAUUGGCUGUCUCCUGAGUCCUAGGAUUAAAGGUAUGUGCCACCAUUACUUGGCAACAUAUAACUUUUCAUCAGGGCUCUUUAUCCUGCUUCACUCAGAACCUUCUUGUGACCUUUAAAGGGGUUCCUAGAUCACCCAGGCUUUUCUAAGCCACUCCUUCUUGUCAGGUGAACUUCCCUAUCACCUUUCUGAUCAGAAACAAAAUUAGCUAAAUAUUGGGAACAAGCAAGUGAAACCAGGUGGUAAGAACUAUAUGCACAGUGUUCUACUUCUGAGAGCUAACAAAUGUCAGAGAAGACACGUCAGCAUGAGCAUUCCUGCCCUCUGUGAACAAGCCGAAGGAAGAGAAUAUAGAUCCUACAGUGGCCAAUAUGGCAUCAGGACACAGACAAAAGAUGUCUCAGCAGAUGUGCCAAAGGAAACUGAAACAUUAGGGUCUAAUGACCUAAAUGAAUAUGCAGCCACCUAAAGUAAAAUGAUUCGAGAAUAUUCACUGUGCUCAGCUAAUCUAGGUCAGAUUUUCCAUGAACAGUGUUGGUUCAAAGACCCAAGGGGGGAAAAAAAAAGCCAAGAGAAGCUGAAAGUUCUACCUACGGCAGGAUUUCAAAGAGGGUCCCCUGAAGAGUAGGGUGAUAAGGCUAGAGAGAUGGCUCAGUGAUUAGGGGCACUAGCCAUUCCUGCAAAGGACCUGGAUUUGGUUCCCAUACAGUGCCUCACAACCAUCAGUAACUCUAGUUCCAGAGGACUUAAUAACCCUCCUCUAAACUAUGUGGGUACCAGACAUGUAUUUAGUGCACACACAUACAUGCAGGCAAAACACUCAUAAACAUACUACCUUUAAAAAUAAAAAUAAUAGGGUGCUAUCAACCAUGUGAUGGUUCAUGAGAUGUGACUACACCACACAGGGCAGAAGUGGUAGUGUGGGGAGGGAAGGGACAGCGAGACCCCAGAUUGUGAUUCUUGCUCCAUUACUUGCAAUUGUCUUUAGAUUCAUGGCGCGCUAUGUAAGGUACAGGUAUGAAGGGCACCUUAAGGAGUUAGUCUCUACUCAUACCAUGUUGAGUACUGGGUUUUACUCAUGGAGUCAUCUCAUUAGAUAGUGAGUCAUGUGAAUCUUGGUUUUCUUACCUGUAAUAUACAGUAAGCAGCCAAACAGUGCUUACGUGCUAGACAGCUAAUAAUACUGAAGGGAUUAGUUAAAGAUACUGAAUCUUCAAGUUUCUUUUGCUUAGUGAUUACUCCCUGGCUGCUACAUUUAAAAUCACUUUAUGUAAUGCUUGGGCUUCAAAUCCCUAAUUGCUAGGUGGUUCAUUUUAAGGCUCUGAGGUUGGUAGCACCUUGAGAGUCUUGUGAUACAGUUCACAUAUAUGCUCCUAUUUUACUCAGUCUCUAGAGUGCUGGCACCGCAGGCAUGCACCAUAUACCUGGCCUGUUUGCAAGUGCUAAAGAAUAAGAACAAAGUCUACAGAACUUUGCUGGAGGAAAUUUCAUCUUUUACUGUGCACAGAAAGUACCCUUAAAAAACCAUCCCAAGAAUGUACAUUUGUAUCAGAGUAUCAGAAUGCACAUUCUAAUAUGAAUCAACAUUUAUUUCUAUCGAGGAGAUAAAACUACUUUGUGGAAGAAAACAAAACAUUGAGUCAGCUAUUUAAAAAAUAGAAAAUAAUUCCUAUUUCAAGUCUGAUAACAUUAAUGGCUACUUCUCAGAACCCCAGGUUUAUCUUACCACCCAAUAAGGCAUUUAUUUUAUAGAAAAUUGAGGAUUGCAUUAGCUCUUUAUGUAGUGCCUCCUGGGUGGUGGUCAGUGUCACGAUGAAGCUGACUCUCUGCUCUCCGCCACCAGCUGUCAGAAACUCGCUGGAGGAGAAGAUGAACACACACUAUAAUUCCAGGAGAAGUU